rnacentral:antisense_RNA from 1 species
UUUAGCAUUCGGUUUUCUGGCAAUAAUACCGUUACCGACGGCAUGUAACAGGUGAGUUUUCCCCAGGCCUGUACCGCCAUA